GUCUCGAACUCCUGACCUCAGUUGAUCCACCCGCCUUUGCCUCCCAAGUGCUGGGAUUACAGGCAUGAGCCACUGCGCCUGGCCUCAGGUAUAUCUUUAUCAGCAGCAUGAAAAUGGAUUAAUACAAUGGGGGAGAGGGAGUCAGCAUGGGAGUGAGGGCCCAAGCAGGGUAGGGAAAGCAUCCAUGUGUGAGAAUGGCCUGCAGUGGGAUUUCAGGGCCCAGGCAUGGUGAGGAGUGCAUCCAGGCAGCAGGCAAAGUCCAGCACAGUGCAAGGCAGUCUGUGCCAGGGAGCUCCAGCAUAAGGUGAGAAAGGUGUCCUCGCAAGGCCGAGACCUGGCAUGGGGUGUCAGAGUUCAAGCAAGGUAAAGGGCAGCUCAGCCUGGGGACUCGGAGCCCAAAUGUGGGAGGAGGGGGCCCGUGUGAAGGGGUGGUCUGGUGUGGAAGAUCAGAGCCCGAGUGGGGUCAGGAGGGCCUCUGUGCAUGUUGAAGACCCAGCACGGGGUGUCAGGGCCAGGCAGGGUGAGGAGGGUGUCCACAUGUGGUGGGGGAGAAGGCAGGAGAGACUGAUCAUCUACAGGGGAUUAGUCAAAUAAGUCAGUAUACUUAGAAUAAUGGGAGCCAUGGUCUCACUGUCAGAGAAAGGAGAUACAAAUAUGAAAAGAGAGAAAACUAGAAUAAGUCCUGUGGUACUGGGCUGGAAUUGAAGGUAUUUUGGUGUGAGUAAAAACAUACAGAAAUAAACAUACUUUUCUUUUUUUUUUCGGGGACAGAGUCUCACUCUGUCGCCCAGGCUGGAGUGCAGUGGCA
rnacentral:lncRNA from 1 species